GUCCAGACUCCUACGGGAGGCAGCAGUGGGGAAUAUUGCACAAUGGGGGAAACCCUGAUGCAGCGACGCCGCGUGAGUGAAGAAGUAUUUCGGUAUGUAAAGCUCUAUCAGCAGGGAAGAAAAUGACGGUACCUGACUAAGAAGCCCCGGCUAACUACGUGCCAGCAGCCGCGGUAAUACGUAGGGGGCAAGCGUUAUCCGGAUUUACUGGGUGUAAAGGGAGCGUAGACGGCAUGGCAAGUCAGAUGUGAAAGCCCGGGGCUCAACCCCGGGACUGCAUUUGAAACUGUCAGGCUGGAGUGCAGGAGAGGUGAGUGGAAUUCCUAGUGUAGCGGUGAAAUGCGUAGAUAUUAGGAGGAACACCAGUGGCGAAGGCGGCUUACUGGACUGUAACUGACGUUGAGGCUCGAAAGCGUGGGGAGCAAACAGGAUUAGAUACCCCCGUAUG
rnacentral:rRNA from 1 species